UGUGUUGAUUUGUGGUUAUUUAAGCAUGUUUAGCCCGCCCAGGUUUGUGCGGGAUUAUUUUAUCGUCAGUGUGCUUGUUUGAUGUGCUGGCGAUCUGCUUGGAUUAUUUUCUUUCCGGACUGUGUGCCGUUGUGUAUGGGUUGGUAAUUUUGUUUCACACGCCUGUUGUGUUGGCGUCGACCGUGUCGUACCAGAGAAAAUAAAUCUCAUUUUUUCUUUACCUCUGCUCUCUGCGCCUGACUCCUACCACCACUCCUAGCAUUCGUGACAGUAUUGGUUUAGUCUUGACUCUUGGUUGAUAGUGUUGGGGGAUGGGUAAUGUAUUGAUGCUUGAGAGCCAAAUCAACACAAAUGGAUAAGAAAAGGUCUAAACCAUCAGGUGCCCAGUUUAGGAAAUAGAGGAAAGAAGAAGAGGAGAAACGUGCAAAAGAUAAAGGGGCACUUCUGAAAUAUUUUGGAGCACCCUCUGGCACUGGCCAGGAUGAGGAGCCAUCCACCUCCUCAGCCACACAGGCCUCUUCAGAAAUGAUCUCAGAGCCUCAGGAUGAGGAGCCAUCCACCUCCUCAGCCACACAGGCCUCUUCAGAAAUGAUCUCAGACCCUCAGGAUGAGGAGCCAUCUACCUCCUCAGCCACACAGGCCUCUUCAGAAAUGAUCUUGGAGCCUCAAGAUGAGGAGCCAUCCACCUCCUCAGCCACACAGGCCUCUUCAUAAAUGAUCUCAGACCCUCAGGAUGAGGAGCCAUCUACCUCCUCAGCCACACAGGCCUCUUCAGAAAUGAUCUUGGAGCCUCAAGAUGAGGAGCCAUCCACCUCCUCAACCACACAGGCCUCUUCAUAAAUGAUCUCAGAGCCUCAGGAUGAGGAGCCAUCCACCUCCUCAGCCACAAAGGUGUCUUCACAAAUGUUAUCUGAGCCUGAGGAUGAGGAUGAAGACCCAUUUGCUUCCACUUCUCUCCAGCAGGAUUCUUCAGAAAUGCCUGUGGCAGCAUCCCCACCAAAUCCUGCUGCUGAGGAUGAACCACUGUCUACAGACCCUGCUGACUGGCCGUCAGUUCUGACUGACAGAAUUCGGACACAACUAGUUUGCAGAGGACCAAGUGAGGUACCACCUAACUUUGUUUUCCCAAGGAAUGGGAGAGUGAUGGAAGAAGUUGCCACCACCAGUAUUUCAGGAAGACCUUGGUGAGUGGUGAAAAAAUCAGUAAAGGUUGGUUGGUGUAUUCUGAAAGAAACAACAGCCUCUUCUGCUUCUGCUACAAACUCUUUUCUAAGAAGAAAAUUAAUUUAGAAAACUCAGGACUGACAGAUUGGAAACAUGCAAGUUCUUUGCUGACUUCACAUGACAGCAGUCCAGAACACCAAAACUGCAUGAAAACAUGGAAAGAACUUGCAAUAAGGAUCUAAAAAGGGGAAACAAUUGAUAAGCAUGAGAUGGCAUUUAUGGAGGCUGAGAGGAUAAGAUGGAGAGAGGUGUUGACACAUCUGACUGCUAUUGUGCAGUCUCUGACAAUUAGAACUCUGGCACUAAGGGGACACACUGAAACACAGUACUCUCCAUCAAAUUGACAUUUCCUCAGAGGUUGAACUGAUGUUACAAUUUGAUCCAGUCAUGAAAGAGCACCUGGGAGAGAAGUUUGGAGUGCUGUCAACCUUCCAAAGUCUCUCAAAUGAGGAGCUGACAGAACAAUGUGAGGCCCUUAGUAUGACACUGCAGUAUAAAGAACACUCAGACUUGGAUGGCAGAGAGCUUGCACAGGAACUGAAGAAGUUGCCUGACUUGCUAUCGAAGACCAUGACCCUGCCUGAGCUGCUGAUAUUUAUACACGAAAGGGAGCUCUCAGAAAUGUAUCCAAAUUUGUUGACUGCUCUCAGAAUGUGUCUUACCCUUCCAAUGACCGUAGCUGAAGCAGAGAGGAGCUUUUCAAAGCUGAAGCUCAUCAAAUCCUACCUGAGGUCCACCAUGUCACAGGAACGCCUUAGUGGCCUUGCUGUCAUCAGUAUUAACCAUGCAAUUGCUGGGCAGAUUUCUUAUGAUGAUGUAAUUGAUGACUUUGCGUCAAGGAAGACAAGAAAGGUCAGAGUUUAGAUGGCAGUUGUGCAAUUUAGUUUGUGUGUUUCUUGUUUGAAGUUGCAAUAGUACAAUAAUCAGGUUAUCUUCUUUAUAAGUGUGCUAUUCUAUUUGUGUAAUAUAGAUUUGUACAAUUUAGAUUUAUUUGUGUUUUUUAUUAGCAAUAGGGUAAUAGUGUAAUAAUUUGAUUCUCUUUUACAUUUGUAUUUAUAUACUACAAUUUGUUUCUAUUUGUCUUUGUUACUUUUUUUCUAUUUAUGAGUUAUU